rnacentral:rRNA from 1 species
CCUACGGGAGGCAGCAGUGAGGAAUAUUGGUCAAUGGACGAGAGUCUGAACCAGCCAAGUAGCGUGAAGGAUGACUGCCCUAUGGGUUGUAAACUUCUUUUAUAUGGGAAUAAAAUGUUCCACGUGUGGGAUUUUGUAUGUACCAUAUGAAUAAGGAUCGGCUAACUCCGUGCCAGCAGCCGCGGUAAUACGGAGGAUCCGAUCGUUAUCCGGAUUUAUUGGGUUUAAAGGAAGCGUAGGUGGAUUGUUAAGUCAGUUGUGAAAGUUUGCGGCUCAACCGUAAAAUUGCAGUUGAAACUGGCAGUCUUGAGUACAGUAGAGGUGGGCGGAAUUCGUGGUGUAGCGGUGAAAUGCUUAGAUAUCACGAAGAACUCCGAUUGCGAAGGCAGUUCACUGGACUGCAACUGACACUGAGGCUCGAAAGUGUGGGUAUCAAACAGGAUUAGAUACCCCUGUAGUC